GUAGAUGUUAUCGCAGCUAAAAU
rnacentral:snRNA from 1 species